AGUGGCGGACGGGUGAGUAACGCGUGGGCAACCUGCCUCGCACUGGGGGAUAACACUUAGAAAUAGGUGCUAACACCGCAUAGCGGGCGGGGGCGCAUGCCCCUGCCCUGAAAACCCAGGUGGUGCGAGAUGGGCCCGCGUCUGAUUAGCUGGUUGGCAGGGUAACGGCCUACCAAGGCGACGAUCAGUAGCCGGCCUGAGAGGGUGGACGGCCACAUUGGGACUGAGACACGGCCCAGACUCCUACGGAAGGCAGCAG
rnacentral:rRNA from 1 species